GACGAACGCUGGCGGCGUGCCUAAUACAUGCAAGUCGAAAGCAGUGGGGACGGGUGAGUAACAAGUGGGUCACCUCCCAUCAGAGGGGAUAACACUUGGAAACAGGUGCUAAACCGAUACGGGUGGAUGGUCCCGCGGUUCAUUAGAUAGUUGGUGGGGUAACGGCUCAACAAGGCCACGAUGCAUAGCUGACCUGUGGGGGGUGUCGGCCACAAUAGAACGGAGACACGGCCCAUACUCCGACGGUAGGCAGCAGUAGAGAAUCGGCUGCAAUGGACGAAAGUCUGACCGAGCAACGCCGCGUGAUUGAAGAAGGUUUUCGGAUCGUAAAACUCUGUUGUUAGAGAAGCGGUAUCUAACCAGAAAGCCACGGCUAACUACGUGCCAGCAGCCGCGGUAAUAC
rnacentral:rRNA from 1 species